UACGGGGGGGGCAAGCGUUGUUCGGAAUUACUGGGCGUAAGGGCUCGUAGGUGGCCAACUAAGUCAGACGUGAAAUCCCCAGGCUCAACUUGGGAACUGCGUCUGAUACUGGAUGGCUUGAAUUCGGGAGAGGGAUGCAGAAUUCCAGGUGUAGCGGUGAAAUGCGUAGAUAUCUGGAGGAAUACCGGUGGCGAAGGCGGCAUCCUGGACCGAGAUUGACACUGAUGAGCGAAAGCUAGGGGAGCAAACGGG
rnacentral:rRNA from 1 species